rnacentral:tRNA from 1 species
AUGAUAAUUAGUUUAAGCCAAAACAAACGAUUUCGACUCGUUAGAUUAUGAUUAACCUCAUAAUUAUC